UCAAAUGAAUUGAAGAUCUCAUCCAGCUGC
rnacentral:sRNA from 1 species